UACAGAGGUCUCAAGCGUUGUUCGGAUUCAUUGGGCGUAAAGGGUGCGUAGGCGGCGCGGUAAGUCGGGUGUGAAAUCUCGGGGCUUAACUCCGAAACUGCAUUCGAUACUGCCGUGCUUGAGGACUGGAGAGGAGACUGGAAUUUACGGUGUAGCGGUGAAAUGCGCAGAUAUCGGGAGGAACACCAAUGGCGAAGGCAGCUCGCUGGGACGUUACUGACGCUGAGACGCGAAAGCGUGGGGAGCAAACAGG
rnacentral:rRNA from 1 species